GUGCUCACUUCGGCAGCAUAUAUACUAAAAUUGGAACGAUACAGAGAAGAUUAGCAUGGCCCCUCCGCGAGGAUAACACACAAAUGUGCGAAGUGGUCCGUAUUUUU
ensembl:snRNA U6 U6 spliceosomal RNA